rnacentral:rRNA from 1 species
CAGUCGCCACUGGAAUACGAAGGGUGCAAGCGUUACUCGGAAUUACUGGGCGUAAAGCGUGCGUAGGUGGUGGUUUAAGUCCGUUGUGAAAGCCCUGGGCUCAACCUGGGAAUUGCAGUGGAUACUGGGUCACUAGAGUGUGGUAGAGGAUAGUGGAAUUUCCGGUGUAGCAGUGAAAUGCGUAGAGAUCGGAAGGAACAUCUGUGGCGAAGGCGACUAUCUGGGCCAACACUGACACUGAGGCACGAAAGCGUGGGGAGCAAACAGGAUUAGAUACCCGGGUAGUCCCUGUCUCUUAUAC